rnacentral:miRNA from 1 species
CCCCUUUGGGUCUUGUUAAAAGACAGAGUCUGACUCAAUAGGUAUGGGUAGAGAUUCAGCUUUUUAAACAAGUUCCCAGGUGAUG